rnacentral:rRNA from 1 species
UGGGGAAUUUUGGGAUCAAUGGGCGAAAGCCUGAUCCAGCAAUGCCGCGUGUGUGAAGAAGGCCUUCGGGUUGUAAAGCACUUUUGUCCGGAAAGAAAUCCUUGGCUCUAAUACAGUCGGGGGAUGACGGUACCGGAAGAAUAAGCACCGGCUAACUACGUGCCAGCAGCCGCGGUAAUACGUAGGGUGCAAGCGUUAAUCGGAAUUACUGGGCGUAAAGCGUGCGCAGGCGGUUUGCUAAGACCGAUGUGAAAUCCCCGGGCUCAACUUGGGAACUGCAUUGGUGACUGGCAGGCUAGAGUAUGGCAGGAGGGGGUAGAAUUCCACGUGUAGCAGUGAAAGUGCGUAGAGAUGUGGAGGAAUACCGAUGGCGAAGGCGAGCCCCCUGGGCCAAUACUGACGCUCAUGCACGAAAGCGUGGGGAGCAAACAGGAUUAGAUACCCUGGUAGUCCACGCCC